GCACGGCCGGCUCGCAUGCGAACGGCACGUAUAAAAGUGGCCGCCAGGUGACUACAAGCGAAACGAUAAACGCAAAGGGAUUUGCGGGGCCCGACAAGCAGCGAGCUUGUGGGCAAAGCGCCGAAACACGAAGAACCCAACCCGGGACACGACAAGACGCGAGCACGCCGCCGAAAAACGGACCGCCAGCGAGGGUGCGCCACAGGUGCUGCAGCUGCGGCUCUAGCCCCGGCGAAAAAGUCGGGAUCAGCCCCGCAACGAGCGAAAACCCCGCGAAGGUAGAUACCCGUAGACAACCGAGAACUGACCCGAGGACCGGCGGAGGAAGGCGCUGACGACGAAAAGUCAGCAUGCCCUACGCCCAGGCGACACACACCGCUAGAAUGGCCACGAGAAGGCGUCGGGAAGGCGAAAGGGGGAGCUAAUCGCCUAAACGUGGUACUGAGUGCAGAGCGGGGGCUGCAACUCGCCCGCGUGAAGGCGGAGGUGGCGAGUAGCCGCGUAACGGCAGAAGU
rnacentral:rRNA from 1 species